GUCAGUGUCAUAAUACUGUUUGCUUUUACUGCAAUAAAAUACACAUAUUUGUAUUCAGUAAAGUCUCACGUGUAAGACAGUACCCCCUAUGUACAGGUUUUAUGGCGUUUUGGGAAGUUACAGGGUCAAAUAUAGCACGUUACAUUUGAAAUUGAAAUUCGCCAGAUUGGCUACGUUGCCUUUGAGACUGUAUAGUAGCCCAGGAAUGAAAUUUACACCCAUAUUGGCAUACCAUUUGCAAUAGUAGACAACCCAAGG
rnacentral:lncRNA from 1 species